UGGGGAAUUUUGGACAAUGGGCGAAAGCCUGAUCCAGCCAUGCCGCGUGUGGGAAGAAGGCCUUCGGGUUGUAAACCACUUUUGUCAGGGAAGAAAUUUCUUUGGAUAAUACCUAAGGAAGAUGACGGUACCUGAAGAAUAAGCACCGGCUAACUACGUGCCAGCAGCCGCGGUAAUACGUAGGGUGCAAGCGUUAAUCGGAAUUACUGGGCGUAAAGCGUGCGCAGGCGGCUUUGCAAGACAGGUGUGAAAUCCCCGGGCUUAACCUGGGAACUGCACUUGUGACUGCAUGGCUUGAGUGCGGCAGAGGGGGAUGGAAUUCCGCGUGUAGCAGUGAAAUGCGUAGAUAUGCGGAGGAACACCGAUGGCGAAGGCAAUCCCCUGGGCCUGCACUGACGCUCAUGCACGAAAGCGUGGGGAGCAAACAGG
rnacentral:rRNA from 1 species